rnacentral:lncRNA from 1 species
AAGGAGGAGCGCUGGGAACCCGCGUUGGAGUGCGUUUCGGGGCGCGUGGAAACGCCCAGGAGAGCCAGGGGCAGCGGCGACGGCGCAGCCUGGAACGGCCAGGAGCGCGGGCGGGCAGCGGCCGGUUGCCGCCAGGCCUCUUAUUCCAGGUUGGCGGCGGAAGGGCCCGCAGCUCUCCGGCAAGCCCUCGCGAAGCGCCAACCGAGGUCGUUGCAGCUUUACAAAGAAACGGAACGUUUG